GACGAACGCUGGCGGCGUGCCUAACACAUGCAAGUCGAACGGAGGCGGGAGUUAGGAUUGAGGGAACAAAAAAUUGCGCCCUGAAUCCUGAUUCCUUGCCUAAGUGGCGGACGGGUGAGUAACGCGUGAGUAACCUGCCUUUUUGAGGGGGAUAACAUCGGGAAACCGAUGCUAAUACCGCAUAAAAUAUGAAAUUCGCAUGAGUUUUAUAUCAAAGGAGCAAUCCGCAAAAAGAUGGACUCGCGUCCGAUUAGCCAGUUGGCGGGGUAAAGGCCCACCAAAGCAACGAUCGGUAGCCGGGUUGAGAGACUGAACGGCCACAUUGGGACUGAGACACGGCCCAGACUCCUACGGGAGGCAGCAGUGGGGGAUAUUGCACAAUGGGGGAAACCCUGAUGCAGCAACGCCGCGUGAGGGAAGAAGGUUUUCGGAUUGUAAACCUCUGUCCAAAGGGAAGAAAAAGAUGACGGUAC
rnacentral:rRNA from 1 species